UAGCCUUCCUGUUAAGAAAACAAAAGAACAUGUGAGAUCACGGAGCUGCAGACUGCACCUUGGAGAUCACUGAAUCUUCUCUUCUCUUGGCCAGAGGAGGGGAUAGAAGAAAGCAGACAUGCCUGAGGCCACACAGCUGGCUGUCAUAGAAGUUACUUGGACAACACCACCCACCCCUGGGGGGUGGGGUGGUGGGAACUUGCUUGGUGAUGGCAACAAACAAACAAACACUUUCCCCUUCCCACUUCUCUUCCGGUAUUCCAGACAGGAGGAAUAAUGUACUGAUCUGCUGACAUUAAGAAGGACCCUAUUUUCAGAUUACUUCUUCAAAGGAGCAGCAUCUACAUUGGCAAGGACCGCCGUGAGGAUCCAAGUGCACAGUGAGGUGGGGGGAGGCAGAUACAUGGAUUCCUUUCCACGUGGCCCACAAGAAACACCUGUCCCUCCAGACUCGGGGACCACCAGGGACCUUGAAUAGUUGCCUUGGCAACUCAUUGCCUGGCUAACUCCCACUCCUUUGGGUUUCAGCUUAAACAUCAGUUGUGCAAGAUCUUCUGGACCCCUAAGUUGGGUCCUCCUCUUGUAAGCAUUCAUAGCAUUCUCUACAUACCCUUUACAGCACUUUUAUGAGUUGAAUAGCAUGGUUAUUGGUGUGCUUAUUUGUUUCACACCUGUCUUUUGCACUAAAUUCUAAGCUCUCUGAGGAAAAGGAAUAUGUUUCUGUUGCGUACCAUCUUAUCACCACGUAGCAGUGGGUGCUCCAUAAGAUCCUCCUGCGUGAGCUGCCCUCUGGUGGUCGAACAUGUAGGAGCGAAUGGGAAGGAUGGAAACCCCAGUAGCCAGGAACCAGCCCAGCUGGCUGAGCCAACCACGCUCAAGAGACUGGCCAGCGAGCCAGGGAGUAGGUAAGUGCUACAAGAAGCGCAUCUGGGUGAAGAUUCGUGUCAGUUCUCCAUCCUUAUGAAUGGCUCCCUCCAAAUCUAACAGGAGGCCCUGGCCUCAGAAGAGCAGGAAAUGAAGGAAUGCCCUAUAGAAAUCUUACCUACCUCAGCCCCAGUAGGAUGGUGUGCAGGUAGGGGGAGCUGGUUUAAGUAGCUAUUCUUUCUCCUCAGUGGUAUGCAGGCAAACAUUUUACAGUCAGCUCUCAAAAAAGGAAAUCCCAAUUUGUAGUGUUUACCAAUUUCUGUAGUGUAAAUACCCCUACCAUGGCCCAUUUUAAACCACCGAUAUGAUGUCACUGAAUGAGGAGCUGGAAGAGAUGCCCAGUAGCACACCAUUAUCUAGAGUUUCCCCCAUACAGACACCAUGGACAGAAAUAACUUCAAGGGCACGAUUAAUAGUGAAAUAUAGUAAACUAAUUGAAAAUGAUGAUUUUU
rnacentral:lncRNA from 1 species